UUCACUCCCCAUUAAUACUCAUUACUUCACAGUCGGGUCUUUAGACAAAAAAAAACUGAAAAAUCACAUCUUUAGACGUUAAUUAAUUACCUUAAUUGGUUUUCCUCUCUUCCUAUUAUUUAUAAUCUUUCUUUGCCGCCUCUUGUGUCGAGCCUCCGUGUAUUCAUAGAAAUGGCAUCCAAUUCAAGAUAAAGAAGAGAACAGAAGAAGUAUAAUGUCGGAUAAAAAAAGUCCAAUAGAUAUUGGCAAAAGAAGAAUGGGCCAUUGGCAUCUUCUUAAUGAAUUUUAUUGUGAAUUGGAGAUUAAAGUAGAGAAAAAGGGAUACUUAAAAGUCGAAAGCAUGCUCGGGAGCAGCGAAAAGGAGAAGCUGGCGAAGCCAGGCCUACACCAGGCGUUAUACCUGGCGACGCCAGGCUUGUAGCUGGCGAGAGACCUAGCGAGGCGGGGUAGAAGGCGAACUUGACCAGGCCUUAUACCUGGCGACGGCAGGUCUGGGGCGAGGUCCACCUGGCGUUAGGCCUCGCGAGGCCAAGUCUGGGCGUGUACAGUCCGAGUUUUGAAGACUUAUUUCGUCUCCGGAUUUGACUAGGACUUUGCCUACACGUUUAGGUAUUUUCCUACACAUAUAAAUAGACCUAAAAAUGCCACUUUGGAGGACUUUUGCAAACGGAGGCAAGAAUAGCUUGUGUAAGCAACUGUUGGGAGUUUGAAUCAUCGAUUUCUAUAUCCUUUCAUCUUUACUUUAUAAUUGAAUUAUGCAAAAUAUUUGGGAUAUUGUUACUAUGAGUAUGAGUAACUAAA